GGCUCAAGCGGACCAAGGGAAGCUUGAACCCGGAUGUUAGCGGCGGACGGGUGAGUAACACGUGGGUAACCUGCCUGUAAGACUGGGAUAACUCCGGGAAACCGGAGCUAAUACCGGAUAGUUCCUUGAACCGCAUGGUUCAAGGAUGAAAGACGGUUUCGGCUGUCACUUACAGAUGGACCCGCGGCGCAUUAGCUAGUUGGUGGGGUAAUGGCUCACCAAGGCGACGAUGCGUAGCCGACCUGAGAGGGUGAUCGGCCACACUGGGACUGAGACACGGCCCAGACUCCUACGGGAGGCAGCAGUAGGGAAUCUUCCGCAAUGGACGAAAGUCUGACGGAGCAACGCCGCGUGAGUGAUGAAGGUUUUCGGAUCGUAAAGCUCUGUUGUUAGGGAAGAACAAGUGCGAGAGUAACUGCUCGCACCUUGACGGUACCUAACCAGAAAGCCACGGCUAACUACGUGCCAGCAGCCGCGGUAAUACGUAGGUGGCAAGCGUUGUCCGGAAUUAUUGGGCGUAAAGGGCUCGCAGGCGGUUUCUUAAGUCUGAUGUGAAAGCCCCCGGCUCAACCGGGGAGGGUCAUUGGAAACUGGGAAACUUGAGUGCAGAAGAGGAGAGUGGAAUUCCACGUGUAGCGGUGAAAUGCGUAGAGAUGUGGAGGAACACCAGUGGCGAAGGCGACUCUCUGGUCUGUAACUGACGCUGAGGAGCGAAAGCGUGGGGAGCGAACAGGAUUAGAUACCCUGGUAGUCCACGCCGUAAACGAUGAGUGCUAAGUGUUAGGGGGUUUCCGCCCCUUAGUGCUGCAGCUAACGCAUUAAGCACUCCGCCUGGGGAGUACGGUCGCAAGACUGAAACUCAAAGGAAUUGACGGGGGCCCGCACAAGCGGUGGAGCAUGUGGUUUAAUUCGAAGCAACGCGAAGAACCUUACCAGGUCUUGACAUCCUCUGACAACCCUAGAGAUAGGGCUUUUCCCUUCGGGACAGAGUGACAGGUGGUGCAUGGUUGUCGUCAGCUCGUGUCGUGAGAAUGUUGGGGUUAGUCCCGCAACGGAGCCGCAACCCUUGAUCUUAGGUUGCCAGCAUUUAGUUGGGCACUUCUAAGUGACUUGCCGUGACAAACCCGAAGGAAGGUGGGGAAUG
rnacentral:rRNA from 1 species